rnacentral:rRNA from 1 species
GACGAACGCUGGCGGCGUGCCUAAUACAUGCAAGUCGAACGCUUCUUUCCUCCGGGGUCUUUGCACUCAAUUGAAAAGAGAAGUGAGGUAGGGAAGAGUAAGAGGUAGGUAACCUAACAGAAGGAGGGGGAUAACACUUGGAAACAGGUGAUAAUACCCCAAAAAAGUUAAUGCCGCAGGGCAUAGGGGUUACAGGCGCUUUAGGGUGUCGCUGAGGGAGGGACCCGCGGUGCAUUCGCUAGUGGGGGAGGGAACCGCUCACAAAGGCCAAGAUGCAUAGCCGACCUGAUAGGGUGAUCGCCCACACUGGGACUGAGACACGGCCCAGACUCCUACGGGCGGCAGCAGUCGGGAAUCUUCGGCAAUGGACGAAAGUCUGCCCGAGCAACGCCGCGUGAGCGAAGAACGUUGUCGGAUCGUAAAACUCUGUUGUUAGAGAAGAACAAGGCCGUUAGUAACUGAACGUCGCCUGACGGUAUCUAACCAGAAAGCCACGGCUAACUACGUG